GACGAACGCUGGCGGCGUGCCUAAUACAUGCAAGUCGAACGCAGUGGGGACGGGUGAGUAACACGUGGGUAACCUCCCAUCAGAGGGGAUAACACUUGGAAACAGGUGCUAAACCGAUACUGAUGGAUGGACCCGCGGUGCAUUAGCUAGUUGGUGAGGUAACGGCUCACCAAGGCCACGAUGCAUAGCCAACCUGAGAGGGUAGAGGGCCACAAUGGGACAUAGACACGGCCCAAACUCCAACGGAAGGAAGCAGUAGGGAAUCUUCGGCAAUGAACGAAAGUCUGACCGAGCAAAGCCGCGUGAGUGAAGAAGGUUUUCGGAUCGUAAAACUCUGUUGUUAGGGAAGCGGUAACUAACCAGAAAGCCACGGCUAACUACGUGCCAGCAGCCGCGGUAAUUC
rnacentral:rRNA from 1 species